rnacentral:rRNA from 1 species
ACAGGGAUUGCCCUAGUAACGGCGAGUGAAGCGGCAACAGCUCAAAUUUGAAAUCUGGCGUCUUUGGCGUCCGAGUUGUAAUUUGCAGAGGGCGCUUUGGCAUCGGCAGCGGUCCAAGUUCCUUGGAACAGGACGUCACAGAGGGUGAGAAUCCCGUACGUGAUCGCUAGCCUUUACCGUGUAAAGCCCCUUCGACGAGUCGAGUUGUUUGGGAAUGCAGCUCUAAAUGGGAGGUAAAUUUCUUCUAAAGCUAAAUACUGGCCAGAGACCGAUAGCGCACAAGUAGAGUGAUCGAAAGAUGAAAAGCACUUUGGAAAGAGAGUUAAAAAGCACGUGAAAUUGUUGAAAGGGAAGCGCUUGCAGCCAGACUUGCCUGUAGUUGCUCAUCCGGGUUUCUACCCGGUGCACUCUUCUAUAGGCAGGCCAGCAUCAGUUUGGGCGGUUGGAUAAAGGUCUCUGUCAUGUACCUCUCUUCGGGGAGAACUUAUAGGGGAGACGACAUGCAACCAGCCCGGACUGAGGUCCGCGCAUCUGCUAGGAUGCUGGCGUAAUGGCUGUAAGCGGCCCGUCUUGAAACACGGACCAAGGAGUCUAACAUCUAUGCGAGUGUUUGGGUGUCAAGCCCGAACGCGUAAUGAAAGUGAACGGAGGUGGGAACCUUUCGGGGUGCACCAUCGACCGAUCCUGAUGUCUUCGGAUGGAUUUGAGUAAGAGCAUAGCUGUUGGGACCCGAAAGAUGGUGAACUAUGCUUGAAUAGGGUGAAGCCAGAGGAAACUCUGGUGGAGGCUCGCAGCGGUUCUGACGUGCAAAUCGAUCGUCAAAUUUGGGCAUAGGGGCGAAAGACUAAUCGAACUAUCUAGUAGCUGGUUCCUGCCGAAGUU